rnacentral:rRNA from 1 species
UGGGGAAUUUUGCGCAAUGGGCGAAAGCCUGACGCAGCAACGCCGCGUGCGGGAUGAAGGCCUUCGGGUUGUAAACCGCUUUCAGCAGGGACGAACGUGACGGUACCUGCAGAAGAAGCCCCGGCUAACUACGUGCCAGCAGCCGCGGUAAUACGUAGGGGGCAAGCGUUAUCCGGAUUCAUUGGGCGUAAAGCGCGCGUAGGUGGUUUGUUAAGCGAGAUGUGAAAACAGGGGGCUCAACCCGCUGCCUGCAUCUCGAACUGGCAGACUUGAGUCUGGUAGAGGAAAGUGGAAUUCCUGGUGUAGCGGUGAAAUGCGCAGAUAUCAGGAGGAACACCAGUGGCGAAGGCGGCUUUCUGGGCCACGACUGACACUGAGGCGCGAAAGCUAGGGGAGCGAACAGG